UACGUAGGGGGCUAGCGUUGCUCGGAAUCACUGGGCGUAAAGGGUGCGUAGGCGGGUCUUUAAGUCAGGGGUGAAAUCCUGGAGCUCAACUCCAGAACUGCCUUUGAUACUGGAAAUCUCGAGUCCGGGAGAGGUGAGUGGAACUCCGAGUGUAGAGGUGAAAUUCGUAGAUAUUCGGAAGAACACCAGUGGCGAAGGCGGCUCACUGGCCCGGUACUGACGCUGAGGUGCGAAAGCGUGGGGAGCAAACAGG
rnacentral:rRNA from 1 species